CCUCCAUUGCUCUUGUAUCUACAGAGCAACUACCUCCUUCUCUACUGACUUGUACGCACAGAGUCCUGAUACUGGAAAGACCCUCUCUUUGUGUGGAAAGAAAUGCUGGGCACAAUGAAGUGAUGCACCUGUGUUCAUGCCGUGAGCUGGGAUGUGAAUGCUGAUUGUAACCCAGGCCUGAUUCUUAUUCUUCUCCCCUUCCCUUCCAUGCCUCCUGUAGCUCCUUUCUGUUCCCUGCCUGCUUUCUUAGAAUGGGCCUAGGGAUACCAUGAGGUUUUGGUUAUUCCCUAUUCAAACAAGCAAACACA
rnacentral:lncRNA from 1 species